UGACGUCAAGUCAUCAUGGCCCUUACGACCAGGGCUACACACGUGCUACAAUGGCGCAUACAAAGAGAAGCGACCUCGCGAGAGCAAGCGGACCUCAUAAAGUGCGUCGUAGUCCGGAUUGGAGUCUGCAACUCGACUCCAUGAAGUCGGAAUCGCUAGUAAUCGUGGAUCAGAAUGCCACGGUGAAUACGUUCCCGGGCCUUGUACACACCGCCCGUCACACCAUGGGAGUGGGUUGCAAAAGAAGUAGGUAGCUUAACCUUCGGGAGGGCGCUUACCACUUUGUGAUUCAUGACUGGGGUGAAGUCGUAACAAGGUAACCGUAGGGGAACCUGCGGUUGGAUCACCUCCUUACCUUAAAGAAGC
rnacentral:rRNA from 2 species